rnacentral:rRNA from 1 species
AGUGAACGCUGGCGGCGUGCUUAACACAUGCAAGUCGAACGGGAACGGGAUAUAGCUUGCUAUAUUUGUCAGCUAAGUGGCGCACGGGUGAGUAAUGUAUAGAUAACCUGCCCUCUAGAAAGGAAUAACAGUUGGAAACGACUGCUAAUGCCCUAUAUGCCUUUAAUACAUAAGUAUGCAAGGGAAACGCUUUAGUGCUAGAGGAUGGGUCUGUAUGGUAUCAGCUUGUUGGUGAGGUAAUGGCUCACCAAGGCUAUGACGCCUAACUGGUUUGAGAGGAUGAUCAGUCACACUGGAACUGAGACACGGUCCAGACUCCUACGGGAGGCAGCAGUGGGGAAUGUUGCACAAUGGACGAAAGUCUGAUGCAGCAACGCCGCGUGGAGGAUGACACAUUUCGGUGCGUAAACUCCUUUUAUAUAGGAAGAUAAUGACGGUACUAUAUGAAUAAGCACCGGCUAACUCCGUGCCAGCAGCCGCAGUAA